UGCUCUAUCCUCUUGUAAAUAUAAAUAAAUACACACGAAGAACACAGAGCCCAAGAUUGAAGCAGAACAGAACAGUGUCUUUUAAAUUCAGAGAGUAAUCCUUCACAGUGUUUGAACUUUGAACAGAAUCAAAGAUGAUGGGUUUGAGAAGGUUGGUGCUCACUCUUAAAUCCAAAAUAAUAAGGUGUUUGAUGAAGAAUAAUAAUAAUAAUAAUAACAAGCAUUCUUAUUAUUAUGAUAAGGUGGAGAAGAGUGAGAGCAUGAGAAUGGAGAUAAGGAGCAGAAAAGCUAGAAAGCUUAUUGAAGACACUCUUAAGAUUGCUGAUUCACCCACCUCCAAAACCUUUGCUUUUUGAUUAUGCAUUUAUGCUUAAUUAUUGUUUAAUAUUCAGUGUUUCAUUCUUCAUUUCUGUUCUUCAUUUUGUAAUGCUUCAAUGAUAAAUUCAUCCAACACUUUUGUUUCACU